rnacentral:rRNA from 1 species
GGAAGAAGCUUGCUUCUUCUGAUGGCGACCGGCGCACGGGUGCGUAACGCGUAUCAAACCUGCCCCAUACUCGGGAAUAGCCUUGCGAAAGUAAGAUUAAUACCCGAUGUUGUUAUGUUACCGCAUGGUGAUAUAACCAAAGAUUUAUCGGUAUGAGAUGGUGAUGCGUCCGAUUAGGUAGUAGGCGGGGUAACGGCCCACCUAGCCAUCGAUCGGUAGGGGUUCUGAGAGGAAGGUCCCCCACACUGGAACUGAGACACGGUCCAGACUCCUACGGGAGGCAGCAGUGAGGAAUAUUGGUCAAUGGACGAAAGUCUGAACCAGCCAAGUAGCGUGCAGGAUGACGGCCCUCUGGGUUGUAAACUGCUUUUAGUUGGGAAUAAAAAAGAGGACGUGUCCUCUAUUGUAUGUACCUUCAGAAAAAGGACCGGCUAAUUCCGUGCCAGCAGCCGCGGUAAUACGGAAGGUCCAGGCGUUAUCCGGAUUUAUUGGGUUUAAAGGGAGCGUAGGCGGAUUAUUAAGUCAGUGGUGAAAGACGGUGGCUCAACCAUCGUUAGCCAUUGAAACUGGUAGUCUUGAGUGCAGACAGGGAUGCUGGAACUCGUGGUAUAGCGGUGAAAUGCUUAGAUAUCACGAUGAACUCCGAUCGCGAAGGCAGGUGUCCGGGCUGCAACUGACGCUGAGGCUCGAAAGUGUGGGUAUCAAACAGGAUUAGAUACCCUGGUAGUCCACACAGUAAACGAUGUAUACUCGCGGUUUGCGAUAUAUUGUAAGCCGCCAAGCGA